rnacentral:tRNA from 1 species
GGGGAUGUAGCUCAGUGGUAAAGCGCUUGCCUGGCAUGUGUGAAGCUCUGGGUUCCAUCCCCA